rnacentral:rRNA from 1 species
GACGAACGCUGGCGGCGUGCUUAACACAUGCAAGUCGAACGAAGAGCGAUGGACGCUUGCUUCUAUCAAUCUUAGUGGCGCACGGGUGAGUAACGCGUAAUCAACCUGCCCUUCAGAGGGGGACAACAGUUGGAAACGACUGCUAAUACCGCAUACGAUCUAAUCUCGGCAUCGAGGAUAGAUGAAAGGUGGCCUCUACAUGUAAGCUAUCACUGAAGGAGGGGAUUGCGUCUGAUUAGCUAGUUGGAGGGGUAACAGCCCACCAAGGCGAUGAUCAGUAGCCGGUCUGAGAGGAUGAACGGCCACAUUGGGACUGAGACACGGCCCAGACUCCUACGGGAGGCAGCAGUGGGGAAUCUUCCGCAAUGGACGAAAGUCUGACGGAGCAACGCCGCGUGAGUGAUGACGGCCUUCGGGUUGUAAAGCUCUGUUAAUCGGGACGAAAGGCCUUCUUGCGAAUAGUGAGAAGGAUUGACGGUACCGGAAUAGAAAGCCACGGCUAACUACGUG